ACGGGGGCCCGCACAAGCGGUGGAGCAUGUGGUUUAAUUCGACGCAACGCGAAGAACCUUACCUGGACUUGACAUCUGGGAAUCCCUAUGAAAGUAGGGAGUGCCCUUCGGGGAGCCCCAAGACAGGUGCUGCAUGGCUGUCGUCAGCUCGUGUCGUGAGGUGUUGGGUUAAGUCCCGCAACGAGCGCAACCCUUGUCUCUAGUUACCAUCAUUUGGUUGGGGACUCUAGAGAUACUGCCAAGGUUAACUUGGAGGAAGGUGGGGAUGACGUCAAGUCCUCAUGGCCUUUAUGUCCAGGGCUACACACGUGCUACAAUGGACGGUACGGAGGGUCGCAAUAUCGCGAGAUGGAGCCAAUCCCAAAAAGCCGUUCCCAGUUCGGAUUGGAGUCUGCAACUCGACUCCAUGAAGUUGGAAUCGCUAGUAAUCGCGGAUCAGCAUGCCGCGGUGAAUACGUUCCCGGGCCUU
rnacentral:rRNA from 1 species